GUAGUGUUCCAUGAUUCAUUUUGCCAAAAUAUCUUCCAGAAUCUACUAUACACGAAAGUGCCGGAUUCUAACACACCAUCAGCAAAGCUGUGUUACCACACCUGAUUUCUACUAACCUGGUUUAAUAUCUCAUUGUUUCAGCUGAACAAGGAAAAAAAAUGAAGUGAGCUGAAUUUGGAGCCCAGCAUCUCAACCAUCACUGAAAUAACCUCAAAAUCUCAGAAGCUUAACAGAAAAAAGGGAACUUAGGAGGCUGAACUUCCAAUGACCCAGCGACGGAGCCUGAGAUCAUGAAGCGGAAUUUCCUGUGCUUAGCAUCUGUACCGCUUGGGCUCAUUUAUCUUUACAAAUAGUUUUCCGAGAGACAAGGCAGCGUGAGCUCAGGAAGAGAGAAGUCAUGACCGACAUGAGUUUCCCAGACAUCCGGCUUUGUGACCUGUUGCGGCCGCCUUGGCUGGUUUAUGGUGGUGGCCUCGCCCAUCUGCCAGUGUCCAAAGAUGGGACAGGGGCUGAAAUCAAAUGUUCUCCCAGCUCUUAAGGAUACACAACAAUUCCCGCUGUCCUCUUA